rnacentral:rRNA from 1 species
UGCCACCUACGGGAGGCAGCAGUAGGGAAUCUUCCACAAUGGGCGAAAGCCUGAUGGAGCAACGCCGCGUGGGUGAAGAAGGUCUUCGGAUCGUAAAACCCUGUUGUUAGAGAAGAAAGUGCGUGAGAGUAACUGUUCACGUUUCGACGGUAUCUAACCAGAAAGCCACGGCUAACUACGUGCCAGCAGCCGCGGUAAUACGUAGGUGGCAAGCGUUAUCCGGAUUUAUUGGGCGUAAAGGGAACGCAGGCGGUCUGUUAAGUCUGAUGUGAAAGCCCACGGCUUAAGCGGAGUAGGGCAGUGGA